rnacentral:lncRNA from 1 species
UAAUCCUGGCCCAACCCCUCCAUCUCCGGUCAACCCUCCUCCUCCAAAGCCCUCCACUCAGUGUGACGAUUACUUUUCAUGCCAAGAGGGAAGCACCUGCUGCUGCAUAUAUGAGUAUGGUAGCUAUUGCUUUGGAUGGGGAUGCUGCCCUCUUGAGUCUGCAACCUGCUGUGAUGACCACUAUAGCUGCUGCCCUCAUGAUUUCCCUGUCUGCGACCUUGAAGCUGGAACCUGCCGAUUGGUAAACAAAACAUAUAAAUCUUAUUUUUGUCAAAGAAAUUUAAAAGAUGUUUGAUAAGUGUAUUGACUUUUUUCUUCUUUUGCUGAUGGCAGAGUAAGGAUAAUCCAUUGAGUGUAAAACCAUUCAGACGUAGUCCUGCUCAAAGAAUCGGUUCUCACCUUCGCGGUGGCAAGAAAAUUAUUGGUGCUUGAAAGCUCAGGGUCUGCAGGACAUUCAGCAAGUGAGGCUUAAACAGAGAAUUGUUUCCUAUUGCAUCAUAGGAGGAUUUAGCAAGGAAGAAAUGCUUUUUAUCUCACCCUAUUUAAACAAUUACUGAAUGUUU